rnacentral:rRNA from 1 species
GACGAACGCUGGCGGCGUGCUUAACACAUGCAAGUCGAACGGAAAGGCCCUGCUUUUGCGGGGUGCUCGAGUGCCGAACGGGUGAGUAUCACGUGUGUAACCUGCCCUUGACUUUGGGAUAACUCCUGGAAACUGGGGCUCUUACCGCAUAGGAUCUCCUGCUGCAUGUUGGUGGUUGGAAAGUUUCGGCGGUUGGGGCUGGUCUCGCGGCUUCUCCGCUUGUUGGUGGGGUAGUUGCUUACCAGGGCUUUGACGGGUAGCCGGCCUGAGAGGGUGACCGGCCACAUGGGGACUGAGAUACGGCCCAGACGCCAACGGGAGGCAGCAGUGGGGAAUAUGGCACAAUGGGCGGAAGCCUGAGGCAGCAACGCCGCGUGCGGGAUGACGGCCUUCGGGUUGUAAACCGCUUUCGCCUGUGACGAAGCGGGAGUGACGGUAAUGGGUAAAGAAGCACCGGCUAACUACGUG